GACAGAGGGUGCAAACGUUGUUCGGAAUCACUGGGCGUAAAGCGAGUGUAGGCGGUGUGGUAAGUCGGAUGUGAAAGCCCCGGGCUCAACCCGGGAAGUGCAUUCGAUACUGCCACGCUAGAGUAUCGGAGAGGUUGGUGGAAUUCUCGGGUGUAGAGGUGAAAAUUCGUAGAUAUCGAGAGGAACACCGGUGGCGAAGGCGGCCAACUGGACGAAUACUGACGCUGAGACUCGAAAGCGUGGGGAGCAAACAGG
rnacentral:rRNA from 1 species